CCUAUGGGCACAAAAAGCAGGAACGAGUAGCGGUGGCUGAAGAACGAGCAGGAGCUUGAAUUUCAGUUUUCUUAUGAGGAAUUUUCCAGAAAAGAUAUCUUCACUGUGAAAUAACUAAAUAAAUGCCCACUCAGUACAACAAAAAUACCUGCUACAUGCUUCCUUCUGUAUGAAUACAUGAGACCUACCUUCAUUCAUGUUUCCUCUAUGAAGCUUUCCCUGCACUCCAAACACAGAGCUGAGACUUCCACCUAAUGUAGAAAGCUAGCACGAGCCGGCGCUGACAGAUGGAAGACUUGAGAUGUUACAAGAUUAUAUAUGGAAACACAAAAGGAGUGGAGUUGCUGGGUCAUAUGGCAAUUCAUUUGAGGAACUGAGAAGCUUAUUCCAUGGAGGCUGAACUGUUUUAUAUUCCCACCAGCAACGUGUAAGGUUCCAGUUUAUCUACAUCAUCACCAACACUUGCUAUUUUCCAUUUCAUUAAUGAUAGCCAUCCUAGUGGAUUUGAAGUGGUACCUUAUUAUCGUGGUUUUGAUUGCAUUCUCUAUUGACUAAUGAUAUCGAGCAUCUUUUCAUGUAUUUUUUGGUCAUUUGGUCAUUUUUCUUUUUUAAUUUUAAAAUUUUGAGACAGGCUCUCACUAUGUUGCCCAGGUGGUCUCAAACUCCUGGGUUCCAGCGAUGCUCAUGCCUCAGUCUCCCAAAGGGGUGGGAUUACAGGUGUGAGCCACUUUGCCCAGCCCAUUUGUAUAUCUCCUUUGGAGAAUAUCUAGGUUCUUUUGAAGGUAGCUGCAUAUAAACUAGCCAAAUUAACAGACUGUGGUUUUUAGAUGGCUUUCCAUAUCUACAAGAACUAUUUAGUUCUCAAAACUGGGAAGAAAUGUUUCAGAGGCAUCAUUAAUUCAUAAUCUAAAAAUUUAUCUUGGGUUUCCUUUUUUCCCCCAGAUUCUGUAUCCUCCAUAGUCCUAUUCAUGACAUGGGUCGUUCAUCUCUGUAUUCUAAACCCUCAAUGAACUGUAGACAGUAAUAAAUAUUUAUUGGAUGAA
rnacentral:lncRNA from 1 species